rnacentral:rRNA from 1 species
AUUGAACGCUGGCGGCAGGCCUAACACAUGCAAGUCGAGCGAGCGGCGGACGGGUGAGUAAUGUAUGGGGACUGCCCGAUAGAGGGGGAUAACUACUGGAAACGGUGGCUAAUCCCGCAUACUAUCGGAUAACCCAUAUGGGAUUAGCUAUUGGGUGGGGUAAAGGCUCACCUAGUCGACGAUCUCUAGCUGGUCUGAGAGGAUGAUCAGCAACCUUGGGACUGGGACACGGCCCAGACUCCUACGGAGGCAGCAGUGGGGAGUAUUGGACAAUGGGCGCAAGCCUGAUGCAGCCAUGCCGGGGGUAUGAAGAAGGCCUUAGGGUUGUAAAGUACUUUCAGCGGGGAGGCGUUACCCGCAGAAGAAGCACCGGCUAACUCCGUGCCAGCAGCCGCGGUAAUAC